rnacentral:misc_RNA from 1 species
GUGAAUUUGUAGCCUCCAAGGCUCACAUUCUCUAUCCUUCACACACCUGUGCACCCUUCUGAAGCGGGGAGUUAUUAGGCAUUAGCCGAGCGCCUCCCUUCGGUUAUUAUAUCAAACUCAAACUAUGUUUACUAGAAUGUAUACUGUCUUGUUGUAACGACAAGUACAAUCCAAUA